rnacentral:rRNA from 1 species
CUACGGGCUGCAGCAGUGGGGAAUAUUGCACAAUGGACGAAAGUCUGAUGCAGCAACGCCGCGUGGAGGAUGACACAUUUCGGUGCGUAAACUCCUUUUAUAUAGGAAGAUAAUGACGGUACUAUAUGAAUAAGCGCCGGCUAACUCCGUGCCAGCAGCCGCGGUAAUACGGAGGGCGCAAGCGUUACUCGGAAUCACUGGGCGUAAAGAGCGUGUAGGCGGAUAGAUAAGUCGGGAGUGAAAUCCUAUGGCUCAACCAUAGAACUGCUCUUGAAACUGUCUAUCUAGAAUAUGGGAGAGGUAGAUGGAAUUUCUGGUGUAGGGGUAAAAUCCGUAGAGAUCAGAAGGAAUACCGAUUGCGAAGGCGAUCUACUGGAACAUUAUUGACGCUGAGACGCGAAAGCGUGGGGAGCAAACAGGAUUAGAUACCCCCGUAGUC